GCCGGAGUGAUGGAACUGGCAGUCAUGCACGACUCAAAAUCGUGUGGGGUAGCCCCCCGUGUGGGUUCGACUCCCACCUCCGGCACCA
rnacentral:tRNA from 2 species